rnacentral:rRNA from 1 species
UACAGAGGGGGCAAGCGUUAUUCGGAAUUAUUGGGCGUAAAGGGCGCGUAGGUGGCAAUGUGUGUCUGCUGUCAAAGAAUGAGGCUUAACCUCAUCAAGGCAGUGGAAACUACAUAGCUAGAGUACGGUCGGGGUAGAAGGAAUUCCUGGUGUAGCGGUGAAAUGCGUAGAGAUCAGGAAGAACACCGGUGGCGAAAGCGUUCUGCUAGACCUGUACUGACACUGAGGGACGAAAGCUAGGGGAGCGAAUGGG